UACGAAGGGUGCAAGCGUUACUCGGAAUUACUGGGCGUAAAGCGUGCGCAGGCGGUUAUGUAAGACAGAUGUGAAAUCCCCGGGCUCAACCUGGGAACUGCAUUUGUGACUGCAUGGCUAGAGUACGGUAGAGGGGGAUGGAAUUCCGCGUGUAGCAGUGAAAUGCGUAGAUAUGCGGAGGAACACCGAUGGCGAAGGCAAUCCCCUGGACCUGUACUGACGCUCAUGCACGAAAGCGUGGGGAGCAAACAGG
rnacentral:rRNA from 1 species